AACGUAUUUUACCCAACACAUAGGUACCUAUUAAUGGUAUUAUCUUAAUUUAAAAAAUUGAAAAAAGGGCAAAUUUCAAAAUGUAUAAGUCCGUGUACGAUAAUAGUCAUUCUCUUUAAUUUCGAAACUAAUGAUUUGACUAGUAUUGGUGGUGGUAGGUACUGAUAGCCGGGCCUCAUAAAAAGCCGUUGCGGAAUUACGGGCUAUGGCACAUAAUAUAACGGUGAAAACGUAGUCGUUCGGAACGGGGUAGUCGAUAAGUGCCUAUAUCUACGCAUGAGACAUUAGGUAUUAUAUAUAGGUACAUAGGUGAGGAAAAAAUAAUAAUUUAUAAUUAUUAAUAAUGUGUCAUAUUGCGCAAUGCGUCGAGCCGUCGACAAAAUGAAUAUUAACAUUUAAUUAUUAUUAUAAUACGCCGUAUCCAUCGUGAUAAGCGAUUUUUUAACCGAAAACAUCGCGGCCUUGAUUCACGCUAAUAUUGUGAGCGUGCAAGCAGUAUAAUUGUUUAUUCAUCGUGCCAUCAAAUUCAUAUAAUAAUAUUAUUAUGUAGGUAAUACAUAUAUCGCUUGCGUUGGUAGGUAUUUUGUGUCUGGACGCAUGCGGUACGGCAGCGAACGUUUUGUAUAUAAUCAGUCACCUAUAAAUUUGGAAGACAAUUUUUUCUAAAGGACUACAUUUUUUGGUUACUCGCUGAACACAAAAUGAACUACAUAAUUGCGACCGUAUGCACUCGAAUGCAUGUCGCGUGGGUGGUAGGAUAUAUCGUAGAGGACGUUUUUAUGUGUGGUGUAUAAGUAAACACAAUAUGUAAGCAAGGGGGCUUUUUACUAUACUUUCUACUUUUCAACUGCUUUUGCAGCGUACGAUUUUAUACGCUGAACUCAACCCAAUACGUUUUUCGAAGUAAUAAUGUAGCAUAAUAUGGUCUGCUAAAUGAUGAAAAAAAAAAUGCUAAUAUGCCAACAACUUACUUGCGAAUAAUAGUCGAGACAUCACUUUGCAGAGUGCAGACUAUUUUGCUCUAAUGAUCUAAGCUCUUACGCAGUUACACUGCACAAAACGUGAAGUACACGAAUAUUUCAACACACACAUACAUAUUUCUCAUUUGUUGUCAUCAGAGAAAUAUAAUCACAGGUUAAUAGGUACCAGGUACCUGCAUUAUCAUACUGAUGAAUCAAGAAACAAUAUUUCCUUUUAUUCACACCAUUCUCUAUUCUUGGUUCAGCAUUAACGGUAACUAUAGUAGCACAGCAUUGAAGAUUGUAAUCUGAACACAAAUAAUUAUUGUACUAAUUUAUAAGUAUCCAAUAGUAGUUCUAAUGAAAAUUAACGGUGAAUAUUAUGUAAAAAAAAGUGUAAAGAAAUUGUUUUUACGUUUUGCAAUACGUUAAGUUACUGAGUAUGUAUGUUCCGUUUUGCAUGUACAGGUGGCUGGAAAGAUAUAGUCCUAAAUCGUGACAUGAU